rnacentral:rRNA from 1 species
UACGUAGGGACCGAGCGUUGUCCGGAUUCAUUGGGCGUAAAGCGCGUGUAGGCGGCCCGGUAAGUCCGCUGUGAAAGUCGGGGGCUCAACCCUCGAAUGCCGGUGGAUACUGUCGGGCUAGAGUGCGGGAGAGGCGAGUGGAAUUCCUGGUGUAGCGGUGAAAUGCGCAGAUAUCAGGAGGAACACCUAUUGCGAAGGCAGCUCGCUGGGACGUUACUGACGCUGAGACGCGAAAGCGUGGGGAGCAAACAGG